GGGUCUAAGUCGUUGAAGGGAGAUCUUAGGAAACGAGAAGGAGAUGAUCUGCUGUGCUUAUUACACGUGCGUUGAUGACGGACUGGUAAGAAGGGGUAAAGGAUAAUUUAACGAGUCAUCCUCGAUCAACUUUGCUUUAACGUUAUUAAUAGUGGGAGUCGGGACCCAGCACGGCAUGAAACGGAGUCGGGCUGAUUUGGGCCGGCCCGACGGCCAGCAUUAGGACUCACAGAGGAAAAGAAAUUCCCUCCUUCUCGGCCCAACCCAACAACAGCCCAGACGACUUCCGGUUCUUCAUUCUACCCCAGAGAAUUUGUUUUUUUUUGUUGUUGGUGUUGUUUUGCCUUUUGCCGUUCUGCUCGGCCCUCUCGCCGGAGAGGAGAGCGGUCUCGCCGCGAUGAGUCACCGCAGGUGAGGCCUCACGCCGCCUCCUCCCGCAGGAAGCGGCACCCUUCCGCCUUCGCCGGGCGGCAUCCGAAUGCGCGGGCGGAGCGGGUGCCAGAGCGUUCGCGGCGGCGUACGUUCCGCGCUGCUGCGUGGUGCGAACACCUACUUCAACCCCCGACGAGCACUGGCAGACAGACGGCAGUGUGCCUCGAGGUCUCCCUCGCCUUCGGGUUACUUUCUUUGGAUCUGUACUGCGAGUCCCAGAUUUGCACAAACAAUUGUAGUUCCCAAUCAGAUUACUGCAGAUUCCAUGGCAAGGAUACUGAUCUGGAAAACUGCACUCGUCGAUAUCUGCAAACAUCAUGCAAGAUAAGUAAAUAACUUGACACCAGUGCAAAGAUAACUUCACAUGAACUCAAAAGAUGGAAGUGAGUUUCAGAGAGUUACCAACCUUGGCAUCCUUCUUCCAGGCAUACGACGAUCUGUUCUUCACCGCUUCGUUACAGUUUUCAUAUCCAGCAACCCAGUCAAGCACAGUAGGGACCCCAUCCCUGAACUCCUUUCUGAACUUAUCAUCUUCAAGAUAAUAAGGCUUGAACUUGAACCAAUCCAG